rnacentral:rRNA from 1 species
UACGUAGGGUGCAAGCGUUAAUCGGAAUUACUGGGCGUAAAGCGUGCGCAGGCGGCUUUGCAAGACAGAUGUGAAAUCCCCGGGCUUAACCUGGGAACUGCAUUUGUGACUGCAUGGCUGGAGUGCGGCAGAGGGGGAUGGAAUUCCGCGUGUAGCAGUGAAAUGCGUAGAUAUGCGGAGGAACACCGGUGGCGAAGGCGGCAUCCUGGACCAACACUGACGCUGAGGAGCGAAAGCCAGGGGAGCAAACGGG